rnacentral:rRNA from 1 species
UACGUAGGGGGCAAGCGUUGUCCGGAUUUAUUGGGCGUAAAGAGCGUGUAGGCGGCUAGGUAGGUCCGUUGUGAAAACUCGAGGCUCAACCUCGAGACGUCGAUGGAAACCAUCUGGCUAGAGUCCGGAAGAGGAGAGUGGAAUUCCUGGUGUAGCAGUGAAAUGCGUAGAUAUCAGGAGGAACACCGAUGGCGAAGGCAGGUCUCUGGGCUGACACUGACGCUCAUGCACGAAAGCGUGGGGAGCGAACAGG